GCGAGCUCGAGUCUGUCUUGAGAAUUUGGUCCAGUGGUAAAGAGGCUUAUCCUCUCUAGUGGGGGGCGCAGGUUCGAUUCCUGCUUGGGCCAU
rnacentral:sRNA from 1 species